CGGGAUGUAGCUCAGUCUGGUCAAGAGCAUGCGCCUCAUACGCGCGAGGUCACUGGUUCGAAUCCAGUCAUCCCGA
rnacentral:tRNA from 2 species